rnacentral:misc_RNA from 1 species
UGACUAAACGUUUGCAGGUAUUUAGAUUGAUCCUCAUACAACAACUAGCAGCAAAAAGUAAGUGUGACUAAACUUUUGCAGUUAUUUAGAUUGAUCCUCAAGCACCCUAUUGUAUUCAAUGGACAAGAGGGUUUAGCACCUGCCCAAUGAAAAGCAAAGAUUCUGUCUUGUCUUCCCUUAUCACGUACAAGAAAGGAUGGUUGGCAACGAAGUCGAUUAUGUCUACAGAAGGCAAACCCCUCAAUCUUAUGACACCAGAUGAAGCAGCUGCAGCUUCUG